rnacentral:rRNA from 1 species
AUGGCUCCACAUUCAGGUGCUCUCUUUCUCAAAGCGGCCGCCGUCGCUGCUGUUCUCACCAUGCUGGUCGUGCCUUCCUUGGGGCGCUGUCAUGGCUCUCCGUCGCCAGCACCGCCACCGACAACCUCCACACCACCACCUCCGGCGCCGUUGCCACCCACUCCGGCGCCAGCGUCGGGACUGAUAUCAUGCAACGACUGUUAUUCACAGUGCUACUUUUCCUGCGACGCCUCCAUUCCCUCGAAGUGCAGCGCAUUAUGCAACGUCGAAGUUCCCUGCAACUCCUGCAAGACCAGCGCCAUCGAGGAAUGCAGGACCAGCAAAAACUGCACCGACAGCUGCGACGAGUGCAACGACGCUCCCAACUUUAAAUGUGCCUUCUCCUGCACCACCCGAAACUGCAUCGGGUGUCAUUACGGGAUGGGCCAGAUGUGCAAUAAAGCAUGCAGAGAGGAGUGCUCCGCACCCAAAUGCGUACCCUAG